rnacentral:rRNA from 1 species
UACGUAGGGACCAAGCGUUGUUCGGAAUUACUGGGCGUAAAGAGUGUGUAGGCGGUGCUCUAAGUUCGGUGUGAAAUCUCCUGGCUCAACUGGGAGGGUGCGCCGGAAACUGGAGUGCUUGAGCGUGGGAGAGGAAAGCGGAAUUCCUGGUGUAGCGGUGAAAUGCGUAGAUAUCAGGAGGAACACCUGUGGUGUAGACGGCUUUCUGGACCAUAGCUGACGCUGAGACACGAAAGCGUGGGUAGCAAACAGG